UAUUCGAGACAGUUAAGAAUGGACCAGUGCACCGAGCAGGCUUGCACGGCCGUUAAAUCUUUGGAUUAUCUCAGUUUACGUUGGACCCCAGUGAUCUUAGAUAAGGAUGAGAUUCCGAUUAAGCUAUACUCGCCAUAGAGCCCGCACUACAUACACACGUCCGAGUGCUAAGAACCGAAGAACAGUGAGAAGUGAUGAGAAGGUCCAAGAAAGUUCGGAAGUCGGUUUCUAUCAAGAAUUUAGCGAAUUUUUUUAAAUUUUUGUUGCAAAAGUUGGGGCAGAACAUCUGAAAUCGGUGGAUAUUUAUCGGAAACGGCUGCAGAUAGUUUCAAAUUUGCUUCGGAAUAAGAAAGACUUCAGCAAUUGACAGUGAACCCGACAAAUUGCAACCCAUUCAAGGAAACAUACCCUGGAGCCAAUACAAGUACUCACCUCAUAUGGGUUCAUUCCAGCAGAUGAAAAGGAUGUAAUUAACAAGAUAAACAGCUCGCUGUGUUCUCCUGGAUUGAGGCUCCCAACUGCCCAAACUGAAACAACGAAAUUUCAGGGGUGCAUUCAUUUUCCUGUAUUUCAACACGUCAUUCUAUCCGCCGAUUGCCGUUUCCUAUAAAGACCAAAAUACAAAUUAAUAUAAAUGAUUAUUUUGUGAUAAAAACUUUUCAGGGCACAAAGUCGUUCCCAUACAGCGUUAAAUUGACAUUAGUUUGCUGCAGAGAGGGAGAAAGCCUUUCCAAGGAGACAUUUCAACUUUCUUUAUCGACUUAGUAUCUGAAGGCGAGAAAAAUUCUUUUCUAAGUACUAGUGCCGCAGGAGAUAUUUAAACCCCUGCUGCCCAAGUGCUUAUCAAAGAGUUUUAUGAAUUCAACGAGGAACAAUUGUUAUUAAUUCAACUUUAAAUGAAUAAGUUUUGUAUUUAUUGUUUGAACUGUGUAUUUGACAAUUUGAUAAUUGAGUGGAAUGCAGGAAAGCUUUUGAUUAAGAAGACUUACCCUGCAUAUUGUGCUCAUUAUCAAUAUGUUCAUUAUACAAUAAUUAUAUAUUCAAAUA